rnacentral:lncRNA from 1 species
GGACUUAGUUUUUUGGGAUGUUGUAACAACAUUUCGACCGUGUGGUAUUCUCGACAACAGCGAAUGGGUCGAAAAGGCGGUUAUUUGAGCAUGCAGAUGUCAUGUUGAAACAUGAAUAAUUACCUAUGACUUUCUUUCUAAAGGAUACAUGGAGGGAGCACAAAGAUGGGAUGCAUGAAAAGCUUCACGUGGAGAACUCUAAAGAUAUGAAUGUUAGAAGUAGUUAUUUUCGUACUUGUAUAUAUAGGAGUUCAUUUGUUAAAUUCAAGUGUG